rnacentral:rRNA from 1 species
GACGAACCGUGCGAACGUUGUUCGGAAUCACUGGGCUUAAAGGGCGCGUAGGCGGGCUGACAAGUCUGGGGUGAAAUCCCAGGGCUCAACCCUGGAACUGCCUUCGAUACUGGCGAUCUUCGAGUCCGGGAGAGGUGAGUGGAACUCCGAGUGUAGAGGUGAAAUUCGUAGAUAUUCGGAAGAACACCAGUGGCGAAGGCGGCUCACUGGCCCGGUACUGACGCUGAGGUGCGAAAGCGUGGGGAGCAAACAGG